rnacentral:rRNA from 1 species
UUUCCUUCCGUAGCACUUACUGAAGCUUUAGCAGCCUGAAAGGGCGAAUGCUAGCGACUAUAAAUAAAUAUGGCGUUCUUAAAUGCUAGUCUCUAUUAUCAGAGGCGACAUUGCCAAAUUGUCGGGAACACCCUAAAGAUCUUGAUACCAAGCUGGCAGUCGAAAGAUGCCAGUGGCCGAGCUAACAGCCCUGGGUAUGGUAAUAAUUCAAGAUAUGCAACAAUGGGUAAUCCGCAGCCAAGUCCUAAACUACGCAAGUAGCAUGGAUGCAGUUCACAGGCCAAAUGGUGAUGGGUAGAUUAGUAAAAUCUGCUUAAGAUAUGGUCGGUCCCGCUGUGAGAGCAGAUGGGGAUGCUACAUUAAGCAUAUUUCGUUAGUGAGUAUGCAUAAACGUAACUGAAAACGUUCCGUAGGUGAACCUGCGGAAGGAUCAUUA